rnacentral:rRNA from 1 species
CCUGAUGCAGCGACGCCGCGUGAGGGAUGACGGCCUUCGGGUUGUAAACCUCUUUCAGCAGGGACGAAGCGCAAGUGACGGUACCUGCAGAAGAAGCGCCGGCCAACUACGUGCCAGCAGCCGCGGUAAGACGUAGGGCGCGAGCGUUGUCCGGAUUUAUUGGGCGUAAAGAGCUCGUAGGCGGCUUGUCGCGUCGAAUGUGAAAUCUCGGGGCUCAACUCCGAGCUUGCAUUCGAUACGGGCAGGCUAGAGUUCGGUAGGGGAGACUGGAAUUCCUGGUGUAGCGGUGAAAUGCGCAGAUAUCAGGAGGAACACCGGUGGCGAAGGCGGGUCUCUGGGCCGAUACUGACGCUGAGGAGCGAAAGCGUGGGGAGCGAACAGGAUUAGAUACCCUGGUAGUCCACGCUGUAAACGUUGGGCGCUAGGUGUGGGGGACCUCUCCGGUCUUCUGCGCCGCAGCUAACGCAUUAAGCGCCCCGCCUGGGGAGUACGGCCGCAAGGCUAAAACUCAAAGGAAUUGACGGGGGCCCGCACAAGCGGCGGAGCAUGCGGAUUAAUUCGAUGCAACGCGAAGAACCUUACCUGGGUUUGACAUCGCCGGAAAUCUCGCAGAGAUGCGGGGUCCUUCGGG